UACGUGUGAAACGAGCGAGUAGAAAUCGGUUGCCGCCGGCGAAAAGAAUUGCCAUUUCGUUUUGUCUGAAAAGCGACUGAUUGGAUGAGUGUGUGAAUGAAAGUGAAAUGAUAGUGCAGAAUUCGGCUAGUGAAUCCCAUCUGACGUGAUAGCUGAGGAUACAGGCACAAUUUUGGGGUUUCACCAUAACACAAGGCCAAAUCUGAAAGGAGAGUAAAUUAUCCGAAAUUUUACGGUAGAGAGAAUACCACGAUGUAGAGAAUAAUAAGAUGGCGCCGUUUGUAGUACCGCUACUUUGCUCUCAGCGAAUUUGACGGAAUCAUAAUUCGCCUAACCACUAAUGCCAACCCCAUUGCAGAAGAUUCGAAAGCAUCGGUUUCACAUGAGAUGAACGAAUCUGGUUUAUAUCCGGAUCCAUCAACACUUCAAGGAGAAAUGAUGCAGACCGUGGAGCAAUUUUUUUUUCAUUGUUCUUUGGGCCACGUGAUAGGUAUACUAAUUUUUGUAAAGAAA